UACGGGGGGAGCAAGCGUUGUUCGGAUUUACUGGGCGUAAAGGGCGCGUAGGCGGCCACUGCAAGUCGGUUGUGAAAUCUCCGGGCUUAACCCGGAAGGUCAAUCGAUACUGCAGGGCUAGAGUGCAGAAGGGGCAACUGGAAUUCUCGGUGUAGCGGUGAAAUGCGUAGAUAUCGAGAGGAACACCUGCGGCGAAGGCGGGUGCUGGGCUGACACUGACGCUGAAGCGCGAAAGCUAGGGAGCGAACGGG
rnacentral:rRNA from 1 species